AUUGAACGCUGGCGGCAUGCUUUACACAUGCAAGUCGAACGGCAGCGCGGGCUUCGGCCUGGCGGCGAGUGGCGAACGGGUGAGUAAUGCAUCGGAACGUGCCCAGUAGUGGGGGAUAGCCCGGCGAAAGCCGGAUUAAUACCGCAUACGACCUGAGGGUGAAAGCGGGGGACCGAAAGGCCUCGCGCUAUUGGAGCGGCCGAUGUCGGAUUAGCUAGUUGGUGGGGUAAAGGCUUACCAAGGCGACGAUCCGUAGCUGGUCUGAGAGGACGACCAGCCAGACGGGGAAUGGGCAACGGCCCGGCGGGUGAGGGGGGCAGGUGGGGUAGAGUACUGAAGCAGGGGGGCAACACAGGGACGGCCGUGGGGGCGGGGGGAAGAAGGCCAGCGGAUGGUAAGACGCUUGUGUGGGGGAAGAAAACCUCGGGGCGACGGCCGGGGGGGGACGACGGUACCAGAAGAAUGGGCAACGGCAAACCACGGGCCAGCAGCCGCGUAAUAAUCGGAAUAACACGUUGCUGACC
rnacentral:rRNA from 1 species